rnacentral:lncRNA from 1 species
CAGGCAGUAUCUAGCCUCCCUGGACCCUUUUGUGAGCUUCAGUUUACUUUAUAACUAUGGCAGCAAGGUCUCACCUAGUCAGCUGGAGACGAAGUCACUUGUCUUCUUUCUGUCCUCAGGCCUCACCCUGCCACAGCUAGGGUCUAGCAUCUUUCCACCCCUCCCCCACUCGGGGAGCUUCUCUGAGUACACAUCUUCUUUCUUUUGGAUUUUUUUUUUUUUUUUUUUGACAAGCACAGUGCAGAACACGGCAGAACCGGUCUCUCUGGGGACCCGAGACUUUUCUUGGCAGCCCGGCGCAUCUCGAAUUGGCAUGUCUUUUUCCGUACAAACUCCCGCUCUUAGCUUGCAUCUCCCCCUAGCUCCCCUGACUCACACUGUUUCUCUCAGCAAAGCAUAGAUCUCACAUCUCCCCUCCGUACCCUGCCUCAAGCUGUCUGUGUUUUCUCCUAUCUCAGUUCCAACCUGCCACGGUAUCAGCGUUCCCAGCAGCCUCGUGUCCUGCACAUAAGCUGUUAAGUGGCCAUCUGUGCACUGAUAGAAAAGACUGAACAAGACGUACGUGGUCAAGUUCAGGGAAAGCCCGGGCGUCUCCAGGGACCCGCCAGUUGCCAAAGACUCCCAGAUAGCAAGAUGAACACUGAGA